UACCAGCGGUCCAAGUAGCAACCACAAUUAUUGGGUCUAAAACAUCCGUAGCUUGCCUUGCAAGUCUCUUGUGAAAUCCGGCCUCUUAAGGGUCGAAGAGCGAGAGAUACUGCAAGGCUUAGAGACCGGUAGAGGUAAGAAGUACGGUCGGGGUACCGGUAAAAUGGGUUGAUCCCGUCUGGACUAACAACAGCGAAGGCAUCUUACCAGCACGGAUCUGACAGUAAGGGAUGAAGGCUAGGGGCGCAAA
rnacentral:rRNA from 1 species